rnacentral:lncRNA from 1 species
CGGUAGCCAAGUGUUAUCAUAUAACUUCCUUCUGUGGUCGAAUCGUGAGUUUAGUAUGACGUCCAUUAUCACUGAACUAGUAUACAUAUUUGUUUAGGGGCCAGUUGAAGGACGCCUCAGGGUGCGGGAGCUUCUCGCUGCAUCGAAGACCCAUUGGUGGUCUUCGGCUAUUAUCUGCUCUAUGGUCGGGUUGUUGUCUCUUUGACAUAUUCCCCAUUUCC